rnacentral:rRNA from 1 species
UUCCGGUUGAUCCAGCCGGACCUGACUGCUAUCGGAUUGAUACUAAGCCAUGCGAGUCAUUGUAGCAAUACAAGGCAGACGGCUCAGUAACGCGUAGUCAACCUACCCUAUGGACGGGGAUAACCUCGGGAAACUGAGAAUAAUACCAGAUAGAACAUUAUACCUGGAAUGGUUUAUGUUUCAAAUAAUUUAUUGCCGUAGGAUGGGACUGCGGCCUAUCAGUUUGUUGGUGAGGUAAUGGCCCACCAAGACUAUUACAGGUACGGGCUCUGAGAGGAGUAGCCCGGAGAUGGGUACUGAGACACGGACCCAGGCCCUAUGGGGCGCAGCAGGCGAGAAAACUUUGCAAUGUGCGAAAGCACGACAAGGUUAAUCCGAGUGGUUUCUGCUAAAGGAACCUUUUGCUAGUCAUAGAACCACUAACGAAUAAGGGGUGGGCAAGUUCUGGUGUCAGCCGCCGCGGUAAAACCAGCACCUCAAGUGGUCAGGAUGAUUAUUGGGCCUAAAGCAUCCGUAGCCGGCUUUGUCAGUUUUCGGUUAAAUCCAUACGCUCAACGUAUGGGCUGCCGGGAAUACUGCAAGGCUAGGGAGUGGGAGAGGUAGACGGUACUCGGUAGGAAGGGGUAAAAUCCUUUGAUCUAUUGAUGACCACCUGUGGCGAAGGCGGUCUACCAGAACACGUCCGACGGUGAGGGAUGAAAGCUGGGGGAGCAAACCGGAUUAGAUACCCGGGUAGUCCCAGCUGUAAACUAUGCAAACUCGGUGAUGCAUUGGCUUGAUGCCAAUGCAGUGCCGCAGGGAAGCCGUUAAGUUUGCCGCCUGGAAGUACGUACGCAAGUAUGAAACUUAAAGGAAUUGGCGGGGGAGCACCACAAGGGUGAAGCCUGCGUUCAAUUGGACUCAACGCCGGU